AACGGAGGGUGCGAGCGUUAUCCGGAAUUACUGGGUUUAAAGGGUGCGUAGGCGGCCAUGUAAGUCAGGAGUGAAAGUUUGCGGCUCAACCGUAAAAUUGCUUUUGAUACUGCAUGGCUGGAAUCAGGAUGAGGUCAGCGGAAUGUGGCAUGUAGCGGUGAAAUGCAUAGAUAUGCCAUAGAACACCAAUUGCGAAGGCAGCUGGCUAGACCUGUAUUGACGCUGAGGCACGAAAGCGUGGGGAGCGAACAGG
rnacentral:rRNA from 1 species